rnacentral:rRNA from 1 species
UACGGGGGGGGCAAGCGUUGUUCGGAAUUACUGGGCGUAAAGGGCUCGUAGGCGGCCAACUAAGUCAGACGUGAAAUCCCUCGGCUUAACCGGGGAACUGCGUCUGAUACUGGAUGGCUUGAAUCCGGGAGAGGGAUGCGGAAUUCCAGGUGUAGCGGUGAAAUGCGUAGAUAUCUGGAGGAAUACCGGUGGCGAAGGCGGCAUCCUGGACCGGCAUUGACGCUGAGGAGCGAAAGCCAGGGGAGCAAACGGG